UUCUCCCGCAGUAGCCAUAUUUGUUGAUGUGUCAUAUCAAAGUGACUUGUUGGGGCUAUCAGCUGUUAACGCAGAAAGCUCAAAGUUAAGUCUCAUCCCGGUUAUCUCCGCGUUGAACUCCAUCAUGGCUUUCUCGCAAUCGAUCUGAGCCAGAGAGGGACCACAGAACAGCCUGGUCCUGCCUCACAUACACACAUGAUGGAAGGAUCGGAGGUUGAAGCUGUGUUGGAGGGAUCGCACCCGGUGAAUCAGCCUCACAACAGCAAAUCUAAUGAAGAAGAGGAGGAACAAAUCUCUCUCAAUAGUGGAGACGAGGCGGAAAAGUGCAGUCAGGCAAACAAUGAAGCUGAGCUUGACGGUGAAUUAAUUACAACUGCGACAGAUGUUCAGACAGACACAAACACAAAGUUGGAAGCUGAAACAUGCAGUCAGGAGCUUGUAGAGGGGAGUGAGCUGUGUGUUGAUGCUGGCUGGGAUAGCAGUACAGUGUCCUUGGAAGGCGGGACACCUUCACUUUCAAAUGAGGCUGGCGGAGCUUUUGUCGCCCCAGUCACCACUUUGGAUGAUGUGGUAGAAAGCUCUCCUUCUGUUCUUGAAGGGACAAUAGAAAUGUUACUGACUCUUGAUGAAGUGAAGGACUCUCAUGCCACCCCUCCAAACAGCAAUGAGAAGCCAUCUGUUUUGGUAACAAAUUGUCCCACAGAGCCGUCGCCCGCUGAUGAUAGUGGUCAGGCUGAGAGCCCAUCAUCCUCUUCCGUUCAAAGCGCUUCCAGAAGCCCCACCGACUCAACAACCACCUCUGGGAUCUGCAAUGGCCCCUCUACCCCCAGUUCUGACACUGUCAGCUCCUCCCUCGCCUCCAGCCCACAAACCAGUGCCAACAACUCGGCCCCCUCGCACCCCUUGUCAAGUCCGUAUGACACUGAUUGCAGCCGAAAGCUCAUCUCCCAGAUCCAGCGCUCGCUGUCACAGGAGUCGCUGCUGGAUGAGCUGGAGUCAGAGCUGCUGGCGUGUCAGCUGCCUGAGGGUGGAAGUGUAGGUGAGAGGAAAGGGAGCCCCCCUGUCAAUGGACUCCCGACAGACCAGGAGGACUGCAUGAUGGUUUUUGAGAAGUGUGUGCAAUACAAGUAUGCACAGCAGGAGAAAUCUAUUCAGAGGCUGCUGGAGGAGAACAAGAGGCACCAGGAGCUGAUCCUUGGUAUCUGCUCAGAGAAGGACAACAUGAGGGAAGAGCUGAAAAAGAGGGCAGAGACAGAAAGGCAGCACAUGGCCACCAUUAAAAAGUUGGAGGGCAGGGUGGAGGAGCUGCUGAAAGAAGUGAAGGAGUCGCGGGAUAAACUGAUUCACCAGGACCAGGCAGCUAAAGCCGCCCUCCAGCAGAUCCAGAAGGAGAUGUCCUACAGGCUGGAACAGGUGAGCAAGAAAUCCGACGAGGCACGCCAAGAGAAGGAGGCCAUGGUGAUGAAAUAUGUGCGGGGGGAGAAAGAGGCCCUGGACCUGAGGCGGGAGAAGGAGAGUUUGGAGAAGAGGCUGAGGGAAGCCACGAAGGAGGUCGACCGCCAGGCCCUCAGAGGAAACCAGCUGGCUCAGGACAAAGGUCGGCUGCAGCAGCUGUUUGAUGCUAAGGAAGGCGAGGUCGGCAGGCUGACCCGGGAGGUAGAAAAGCUGAAGGAGGAGAUCAACUCACAUCUCAUCAAGGUCAAGUGGGCCCAGAACAAACUGAAGAGUGAGGCGGAUGCACACAAGGAAACUAAAGACAAACUGAGAGAGACCACUUCCAAACUGGCCCAGGCCAAAGAAGAGACUGAACAGAUCCGCAAGAACUGCCAGGACAUAAUCCGAACAUACCAGGAAUCGGAGGAACUCAAGUCCAAUGAGCUGGAUGCUAAACUGAGGGAGACCAAAGGGGAGCUGGAGAAACACAAGCAGGAGCAAACGGACCAAUUAGAGGUGCAUCGAGUGAAGGCCAAAGAGCUGGAUGACCUGAAAAGGAGCUACAAAGAGGGCAUGGAUGAGCUCAUCACUCUCCGAACCAAGUUAAAGUGUCUGGAGGACGAGCGUCCACGCUGGGAGGACGAGCUGAGCAAGUACAGGGAGAUCAUCAACCGUCAGAAAGCUGAGAUCGGACGCCAGAGAGAAAAGCUGGAUGAGAUUACUGCGCUCCAGGAGCAGCAUCAACGUGAUGAACAGGAGAUCACAGCUCUACGUGAGGAAGCGGACGGCCUGACCAACCAGAUGGCCGACCUCCAGCGUGAUGUGCAAGGCAGUAGGGAGCGCGAGGCUGAGCUACUGGGCUUCACCGAGAAGCUGAGCAGCAAGAACGCCCAGCUCCAGUCAGAGAGCAACUCGCUGCAGGCUCAGUUGGAUCAGCUCAACAGCAGCUUCGCAGAGCUCCAAGCAAAGAUGGAGGAGACCAACAGGCUACUGGAUGACAAGUCACGGCUGCUGAAACAAGAAGAAGUGCUGAGGCAGCAGGAGGUGCAGGGCCUGCAGGAGGAGCGGGCUGCACUGCAGACAGAGGUGGCGCAACUAAAAACUAAAGUUGAAGAGCUGAGGGACGAGCUGGUGACUCAGAAACGGAAACAGGCUGCUAAUAUCAAGGACCUGACGAAACAACUAACACAAGCCCGUAAGAGAUUGGACCAGACUGAGAAUGGAGGCUGCGACCGGGAUGCCAGCAGUAUGGGCAGUCGCUCAAGUUCCUCAGGUACUGCCGCUGGAUUUGGCUCCUUGAAUGCGCGCCAUGGCGGGAGCAGUGGUGUCGAAGAGCGUUCGCCCGAGAGCCAGUCAGGUCCGUCAGUGGUGGUCGUGGACAGCUUCCCAGAGGUCGACAAGACCGUGCUCGUGGAGCGUAUCGUCCGUCUGCAAAAGGCCCUGGCUCGCAAGCAGGAAAAAAUCGAGUUCAUGGAGGAUCACAUCAAGCAGCUGGUGGAGGAGAUCCGCAAAAAGACCAAGUGAGUGGCAUGGACCAGAGUACGGGGAGCAGAGAAAGAGAGACGGCGAGAACAUUUUUUAUUUUAGUUUUUUACAGCUAUAUAAAAUGGUGAAUUAAUUUUUUGACCCUACUGUUCAGACUUUACUGGUGCAGUGGACGGUGGUAUUAUUGUGCUCAAACAGUACUGAUGAAUGGAUAUGGUCAGUUAUAGAUGCGGUGUUUCAGACCCUACAGCAGUUUCGAUGCAACAGUGCAGUAAUAAUACAGUUUUGCUAAAGGUUGACAAGCUCUCAGCACCGUGACUUGUUUAAUAUAUACAGAACAGAACAAGCUACAACCAGCAGCCAUUAAACUACCCAAGAGGAGUCAGCAAAAUAUAAAAAGUUGUUCACUGAAGAGAAGAGAACACAGGAUGCUCCACCACCACUCACUGGCUACUUUUACAAAGAUCAACUAACAGAUACAGUGUGUACUGGUACCAGGGGUUAUAGUGGGCUGGAAAAAUUCGGAACAGUGUUCUGGCACUUUGGAUCAAUAAGAAAAUACAUCUUAUGUGAUUUCAUUUUUCACAUGCUGCAGCCUGGUGUUCCUUCCAGCCUAUUCAAUCAAGUUAGACCCUCACAACACAACUUUUCAUGCGUGCAGUUGUCGCUUUCGUGGUGCUGCGUCAGUCAGUUGAUCGGUCAGCAUCUAGCUAGCAACAGAAGGAGCAAGUGUAAAUGGAAUUGCUUUUUUUCUGAGGUGGUAGAUAAUUUCAAAAGCAACGUCCCAAGGCCAGAGGGAGGAGGCUCUGUUAAGGGGGUUCCUGAUGGACAUUGCAAGCAGGGCUGGCCAGGGAGAUAACCUGGGCACUGUAAUUAUAGACCUGACUGGCCGAGGUGGCGAUGACUGUCAGGUAUCUCCCAGAAGAGCCCUCCUACCCUGGUCUAUCUGUGCUCGCAGUCCAUAUCAUGUCAUGAGGAGUGUUAAGUGCUCUCAAAUUGGGAUGGGCAUUCCCUUAAGAAUUUUUCAAUGUGGCAGUGGCUAGAUACAUUAAUUCAUACUGUUAAAUCUUUCUCCUCCUCCUCCUAAGCUCGGUAGUUUUAAGUUUCCAUCAAUGGGCUAAUUUUGCCUCGUGCAGGGCGGGUUGCGGUAUCAAUGGUCACUGUAAGAUUAGGUCAAGGGUAGCCGUCACUUUGAAUUAAAGCCGAUGAUACUCCUUAGUAUGGCUUGCCAAAUUCCACUUUUAUACUAUAGCGAGGGAUUGGAAAGCUGCCAUGAUAGUAUGAUAGCCCAUAUAACACCUGCUAAUACAUUGUAGAAUGGAGCACCCUUGAAAGAAGGUCAGCUUAUCACAUAGCCUGUCCAUUAAGAAAAAAGCCCACUGGAGCCUGUAGUAUGAGUCAUUUUUCCCCGCUGCACCGCUUCACCGGAUCUAAGGGUGCCCCCACCUGCCAAAUCCCACCUUAACCCCUGACUGGUACCCUGAAAACAACCUGUGGAAACUUGUACGGCGAUAAUUUGUGUGAUCUGUGGAGCAACACCUCGUGAUAGAGUGACAGCAGUUUCGUGCAGCUUUUUGGAAGUGUUAAAAGGUGACAAAAAGUAUAAGGACUCAAUGCAGUGUGUAUUCUCUCAGGUACACGUUAAACACAGCUCUUAGCAUCUACUCUUAGUAUUGCAGACUGAUAUAUUGAACCAAAGAUUUUCUUGACAAUAUUAAGGCGCACCGUACCUCACUCCCCAGUGUGCCGCUUCCUUCAGCUCACCUCGGCGAAAUGCCAUGCACUUACACACACAGUUUACGGCCCCCCUGCCUCCCUCUGCGUGUCUCUCUCAUCUUUAGAUUCUAACUCACACGCCGCGCCUCUGAUUCAUGACAAACUUCACUCUGAGCUAUUUAUAGGCGAGACGAUCAAGGGUGGAAGAAUGCAUCAGUAUGGAUCCUUAAUGAGGUUCCAUACAUAUUCAUAGCCAUCACCUAAACUAAAGAGACAGUGUGAAGGACAUCAGGGCUAUCUUAAUCACAGCACUACAUUAUGUGUAGGUGAAGCCUUGAAGUGGAUUGUGGAGUCUUAUGGGUUGAACCAAAUAGACGUAAGAUGUGGAAACAGUUUUCUGUACUGAAUAAAAUGAGCAAAAUGGCAUUCAUUGAUCAGUGUAGAUCACUCCAUCACGUUGCCAGAUGAUAAUCACAGUGCUCAGACGUAUCCAAUCAUCCCUACUUGAUUCUACUUGGAUCAUCCCACUUCUCCUGUGUUUCUCAGCUGUACAAUUGUAUUGAAUCCAUUAGCCUCAACCUACAUUCAAGAGUUAAAAUCGAGGACGAAUCCCACGGUUGCAGGGCUAAAUUUAGCUCUGCAAAAUCUCAGCAAAGCUUGGGAGGGGGGGUUGCACUACCCAGAAUGUGGAUGUGAAUUUGUCCUUUUUGCCUUUCUGUCCCUAUCCCUCCAGGACAGCCUGGUGAACACUGAUGAGCUCACUGUAAGCCUGAAGCAGGUGAUGAAUACAGACACGGAGAUGAGGGAACACAAGAUUAGUGGGUCUCCCACAGGACAGUUAGUGAAGAAGGGCUAAUGUUUGAUUUACAUUUCCACAUCUGUGCUCCUCUAGUGUAUGAUCUUAGCUGUGGUUUUGCAUCUUUAAGCUCAUUUACUAUUAAUGAUUGUAAACACUUACAACUUGUGUGCACCCACGUAUUUCCAAAGAAUACAGAGUUGCAAAGUGGGAGGAGGUAAAAAAUAGUAAAAAUUCCACUACAAAUUACCUCAAAUAUUUCUCCAAACAUAGAGGUUGUGUGACAAUAUUAGUCCCGUGCAAAUCGGCAUCUAGGUAUUGUGUUUUCUCCACUCCUCGUUUCUGCGUCUUUGCCAGGCGAGAAUCACGGAGGCUGCGUUGGCAGUUAUAAAUUAAAGCUUUGGCAGCAUUUUCAGAGCAGGAGACUCAUUUGAUACAGAGCGUGGAGACCCAUUCACAGAAAAAGCAAGCUCAAAUUAAUCAGAAGAGCGAAAUCUUGAUAGAUGGUAAGAUGGUUAACACGUGACAUUGUGUAAAAUUAGGUUUAACGCUGUGCAUCGCUGCUAGUAGUUCUUUGUAGUGUUUCUGUGUUGUGCUAAGUGGAGUUACAAUUGACUGAGUGCCUCACGUCCACGCGAGGAUGUCAGUAAAUUUGAGUUAAAGACAGACUUUGCUUAUCCUGUGUGGAUGUGCCGCAAGAAACACAAAGGUAAGGGGUAAUUUCUCAAUCACAUUAAGUCCCCAGGUAAUACUAGUCCCAUGUGAAUAGCGCUUAUGUUGGCACUUUUAAAUAAAAAGUUCUGACAGCAUAUUUUGGUGCAAGCUCAGGAGUCUCAACUCGCUACGCAGCAUGGAUGCAGAUGUUAUGCAGAGCCUUGACAUCAUAUCAGGGGAUAGUGUCAGUGAAUUUGAGUAAAAUACAGACUUCACUCAUCCCAUGCAAAUUUCUAAAUCACAUGAAGUCCCCAGGUAGUACUAGUCCCAUGUGAAUGGGGCUUAAAGGGAUGCUUUGCCAAUUUUCAUCCAGGUCCGUGUCAUCGCGGUGCAGGAAGUGCAUUCCGAAAGCAGAUGAAUGGCGUUAAGUUGUCCCCUGUGCCGCCAAACCAGCCAGCCAGACAGGCAACUUGUCACUGAUGAUGCAAAAUGCCAUGUUGCCUGUCAUCCAACUGACUUUUGCUCACAGCAUGGGUGGGGAGUUCCUGAUGCUGCUGGCACACAGUAGGCUGGCUGCAACACAGCUCAUCUGCAUUCAGCACUCACUCACACUGGCAAGUUGAACUAAUUAAAGCCGGUGGCCAGAAAAAAAAACGUAUAGAUCGGAACAUCAGUUACUGUAGAAGGCUCUCGUGGGAGUGCGGCAAAACUCAAACUUUGUAACUCUGUUGCUACAUUAUUAUUUUUAGAUGUCUGUUUUUUUAACCUAUAAUGCAGCCAUUCAUUUUGUUUCCGAGUAUUCAGAUGCUGCCUGGAAGUCAAACACAGGUCAGUGGCUACGAUGUUCAUACAGUAUGUGUGAUUCGUGGUAAAUGAGCUAAAACAUGCGUAAACAGCAGCAGCAUCCUUCAAGGGCAAUGACGUCUGUCCUUCAGUCCCCACACCUGGUUAUUGUAACCAUUAAGUCUAAAUGGGCCAUUCAUGUGUCUUGAAUUAAAAUGAUGCUGAUACAAAGCAGACGAGAGCAAAGCGGGAGGAGGCCUUCUGUUCAGGAAGUGUAGAUGGCUGUUUAUCUGGAGAGGUCCACCUUUAUGCUCUGUUUUGUUGUGAUCAAUGCUAAGCAAUAUGAGCUCUGUUGCGGGCCAUUACAGAUCCACACCUGCUGUAUGUGCUCGGAUUUAUUGUAAUGGAUCCUUUCAAGGUUAUCUAGGAUUUCUGUCCCACUGCCAGUCAGGCUUUGUCGAUGCUUUUGAUUUUAGCCGAUAUGUAAGCCAGUGCCUGUGGUGUUUUGUAAAGAAUACAGAGGAUUUAUUUAGAUUUUGAUCAUAAGUAUCUACAUCCUUAGCCUGUGUAGCUCUGAAUACGAUUAAGAUAAACAACAACAGGCAUAUCUUUCUUUCUCUGCAUCUUCUCUUGCCACUUCUUUUAGUCACUUUAAGAGCUAGCCUUUGUACUGUAGUGUGGUGCGACACAGCUUACAGGAGAGCUGCAUUGUCAUCAAGAAUGGCCACCUUCACUUCAUGCAUGCUUGACUUGCCGCUCUCAUCGCUCACACGUUCUGAGCUGGGACAUACUACUCACAAAUUCAAAAAUAAAUCAUUGUCUUCCUCACAUCCCUGCCCCUCCACCGCCCUGUGCAUGCCAUCCAGCACACCAUGUGGCCACAUCUUUAAUUUCUGUCACUUUUUUGUUUUUACUAAACACUGUCGUGAUGGAACCGGGGUCCAAAUAUGGACCCUCGCAAGUCUAGUCAGAGAAUUAUCCAGAGCUAUGUGCUAAGAGAGGAGUCCGGGGCCCUCUCGUCGGAGGCGUCGGAUAUUAACAAGGCCCACCUGAGCAGGCGGGGAGGCAUCAUGGCUUCGCUUUACACCUCCCACCCGGCAGACAGC